UUUCUAUAGGGUAUUGGCUAUUAUUUCUUAGAAUUAUCAGAUGGUGAUACUAUUUAUACGCGAUAUAUGUUCUAUUCAUACUGGAAACGUAUCUCGAGGAAUUCGGUGCGUAAUAUCAUGGAAUCGGAGCAUCAUUUUCGAAAUUCAAAUAACGUCGGUAAGCACGGUUACGACGCUUUCGCUCGUAGGUAUAAAACGCUGGUGUUAUCGAAGCUGAUAGAUUCCGAAUCGUUGUACGAUCAUAAAAUAGGAAUACUUGAUUCCUUAUGGUCGGCUUCUAAAACGAUCAAGACUUGAAGAAAAGGAUUUAGAAUACCGCUAUUGAUUUUUCUAUAUAACGGCGCAGAUACCUUUAUGAUACAGUGGAAUUACCAGGUAUUUGAUUACUUUAUUAUAAAUUUAUUACAUGUAACUUUAUUAUCGCCUUCAUUACCUCUGUUCUUAAGUGCUAUCAAUAUUUUUUACCUUUAUCUUUGCCCUGUUUUCAUGUGAGCUGAUCAUACAUUCUGAAAAAGGAGUUUCCUAAGUUCAAUAAUGAAUCGGUCGAAUACGAUGAUCCUUGAAAAGUUGUGCCGUACACGCUUCGUUCCCUGUUUCAACUCUUUUUAAAGGGUUCUUUGACCAAUCAAGUGAGCACUUGGAACUGUGUGCAUUUCAGAUUUUUCCCACUCCGGAUAAUCUCGAUAUCGCACUCGUUCUAUAUCACCCUGAAAAAGAUCAUUUUGUGAAAUAGGUCGACCCCGUAAAUCCAACGGAACACGCCGGAUUUCUGGUACAGAUCAUGCGCAUGAGCACUGCUAGAAAAUAUUUCAGUGGAUCACAGAGUUCGCUGACUGGCUAGAAAAAUAUUUUGAUUGUCCUCUGUAGCUGAUAUCGUAACGUGUUAUAUGAGUUUUGAGAUUGGUAUAGGCGCGUGUACACGUGGAGAGAAAUAUCCAUCGGUAUUGAAAUUCAUCUUUGCGCAAUAAACUGUUCUCGGAAUUUUUAUGCCUGUAGUUUGUACAGUAUGUAGUAUUGCAACUGAAUUUCGUUCUACGAAUAGCCAUUUACUUUUUAUUUCGCCUUUAUUGCUUAAGGGCUAUUAACUCAGUAUCACGAAAACAAUGAUAAUAAAGUCUCUGGACUAAUCUUUUUUGUCUUUAGGAAACUCGAGAAACAUUUACAUUUUAACUGUAAGAUAUAAUUCAACCCUUAAAAUCCCAAUGUAUCUAUUCGUGUUCACUAAGAGAAAUGCUAACGGACUCGUCUCCUGCUAAAGAAAGGAUAUUCUAAAAGGUCCAAGAGUUAGGGCCUAUUAAAUAUCAUAGUAAACGACAAAAAAUAUCCUUGUCCCUUUUGUCAUUGGCUUUUUGAGUCACCCUUUUUCAGGCAAUCUUUUACCCAAGAUGAAAUAUCACGAAGAAAUUAUUUGAGGAGAAGACAAUAGGCCUACAGGGAUUCAGCAGCUGAUACGUAAUUUCCAGAAGCGAAAUAUAUUGUACAAAAAAAAACAAAUAUAGUAAAUCUGAAACUGGAAAUAUGGCCCAAGACCAUAUAAUAUAUUUCGUAUUGCAAUAUUCCAUAAAAAAACAUUUAAUACAUAUAAAUACAAAAAGUAUGCAAUUCAUAAAGUCAACUUUAUGUCCUAGCUUGAUAUAUUGUAAAAUGGAAGUUGAGCCCCGCUGAAGAUUCUAUAUCAGAACUCGGCAACGUCCAUCGUUGAGUCGCAGGAGUCAAGCAUGGAAAAACUAGUGGACGAAGGAUAACCGGAAAGCGCCAAGAAAGCACGUCGCGAAAAAGCCGGAUGUAAAAAUGCCCUAAAAGAAAUGAAGGCAGGAAUGGUAACAUCACUAUAUAUAUACACAAUGAGUCUGACAAAGACGGAAUACGUCCACUGUGUAUAAGGACCCUAGUGUGAAAGGAAAGGGAAUCAUGGGGAUGCCGGACACGCUCCAAGUCCAUUUCUUUCACCCUGCACCCCUAGCGGAUAUCUGACCCUUCAAUGACGCUUUAUUAAAUUCCCGUUCCGCGAGAUUGUCCGGUCGCCUUGCGUUCCCUGGGAAGUCAGAUGCUUGGAAAAAAUCAGGGUAACAAAGCGUCGAUUCCUUAACACUAAACGUACCAUCGACGGGUCCUUUGACCCUUUUAGAGCCAAAAAUACGUUUUUAAAAAAUGUUUAGUGUUAACCCUCUUCCACAACUGAAAAAGGAUUGACAAUUUGGACCACUCCAAUGUUCUUAUUAAUCAAUCUCAACCAAUUUUCACCGUAUGAUAAAAAUCCUCGUGGACUCAAUUUUUUUCAAAUACCUUUACGUAAAGUAGAAAUUCUGAGUAAAGAAAAUACCACCUUAACCCCUAAGAAUCUUUACUUCAUCCAUCUGGCACUUUUCUAUCCCUCCUUUCCAUCGUCCCUCCCUUCGGAUCUAUAUACCUAUCACCUAUAACCUUUGUAGAAUCUUCAAAAGUUAAAAACUGAGUCAGGUGAUGAACCAAGGGUGAGGUAGUAAGACACCCCUUUUCUAUUCCAUUUUUUUUUUACUUUCCAUAAUCAAUUCUCAUUUCCCUUCAGGACGAAAUUUAUCUCGAAUGAAAAUUGCAAAUCGAUUAGGAAUCCACCCUAGUCAUUCUUUAUUGCUUGUUGGCUAAUGUUAUUUUUUUUUAUUUUUAUAUCCACCUUUUAAAGAUCCACAGGAAAUUGUUCCUUACUAAUGUCUGAGGUUUGAGUGUGAAAUUCUUUAGGGGAAUUAAACUAUGGUUAUUAUGGUGAUACCCGUUGCUACAGACUUUCGUUAUAUGGAUAUUACAUUUCUGGUUCUCCCGUCCAGAAUGGUGAAGUUUGCAUCUAAAACCCUGAGGCGGUGGCGGAUAGCGUGUGGAAGUAGCACAGUAGUCCCCUUGCUACGAGUCUGGGAUGUGAUAAAGAAGAUUCUUUGGCAAAGAAAAAGGAAAGAAACACUUGAGAGUUUAAUUAGCAUAGCUAUUAGUGGAUCAAUUAGCAAUGCAUUUGCAGUUUGCCUCGUGCAACUAUUCCUAUUUGAUUCUAUGAGAUGGAGGACCCUUAUGAUUCACUCGAUGUCUUGUGAAAAUCUCAUUCAGUACACACUAUUUAUCCUACUCUCUGAAGGCUGUUUGGUAAAGGCUGAUAUACAGUUUGGCUUUUCCGGAAGAAAAUCCUGAAGGGAAGUGGUUGCUGGGAAUUUUUUUGUCGCUACCAAGUAUACAUAUACAUCUGUAUAGUGAUGGCAUAUAUCCUCUAUGGUGAGGAGACUGAAAGGAACUGAAGAUUUAUGCGUACCUGAUACAAAUUAUUGGAAAGUAUGUGUAUUAGGCAUAAAAUGUAGGACGCGUAGGAGACGUCAGUCUCGACGGAGUAGCAUCCGGAAUGGUUUGGAGGAAGAAAAAAAAGUGGUCACGCUCUUGAGAAGCCAACUGCUAGCUGCUAUAGUAGAACGGACAGGGGAAAAGAAGAAGUGGAGCUUUCGCGCGGGACAUUUAAAAAGGAUCGUCUGAAGAGAAAAAUGGUUGAAACGUAUUUCGUACGUGUAACGUUAGACAGUAUACAAUAAGUAUACAGUUACAAUGGUUAGCUGGAAUACCGUCAUAUCCGUGGGGCACCUUAAAUUUUGAACACCCUGUACACCGUGGACAGAAUUUACUACGUAGAGAAUUAAGCUACCUAUAGAAGCGAAGGAAUUUACGUGAAUAGAAAAUACGGUGGUCGCGGCUUGCAGCUGUCGAAAUUUUUCUUCGCUUCUAACGGAUGCUAAUGUACGUCGUACUCGUAUGGAAUAUCGGACAGGACAGGGAUGGGUGGGUUUUGUUUGGCCGUUUAAUUUCCGGGACUGUUAUCGAGGAAGGCGGUUUGCUCUGCCGAAGUUUAACGACGCUAGAUGCGGAUAACGAGCUCCUUCCUUUUCGAACUAUCGAGCGCUCGUUAAAGGCGAAUUUAAGAUUCGGAUUACACCGGCUGGAAAUUCAGUUUGGCAAGGCAAUGUAAUUUCAUCGGUUAUAUAGGAAUAAUAGAAAGCGGUAAUAAAUUCCACAUUUAAAAAAGGAAUAUGAACAUAUAUUUUUUUAC